AACGAACGCUGGCGGCAUGCCUAACACAUGCAAGUCGAGCGAGACCUUCGGGUCUAGUGGCGCACGGGUGCGUAACGCGUGGGAAUCUGCCCUAGGGUGCGGAAUAACUCGGAGAAAUCCGUGCUAAUACCGCAUAAUGUCUUCGGACCAAAGAUUUAUCGCCCUGGGAUGAGCCCGCGUAGGAUUAGCUAGUUGGUGGGGUAAAGGCCUACCAAGGCGACGAUCCUUAGCUGGUCUGAGAGGAUGAUCAGCCACACUGGGACUGAGACACGGCCCAGACUCCUACGGGAGGCAGCAGUGGGGAAUAUUGGACAAUGGGCGAAAGCCUGAUCCAGCAAUGCCGCGUGAGUGAUGAAGGCCCUAGGGUUGUAAAGCUCUUUUACCCGGGAUGAUAAUGACAGUACCGGGAGAAUAAGCUCCGGCUAACUCCGUG
rnacentral:rRNA from 1 species